rnacentral:rRNA from 1 species
AGUGAACGCUGGCGGUAGGCCUAACACAUGCAAGUCGAACGGCAGCACAGUAAGAGCUUGCUCUUACGGGUGGCGAGUGGCGGACGGGUGAGGAAUACAUCGGAAUCUACUUUUUCGUGGGGGAUAACGUAGGGAAACUUACGCUAAUACCGCAUACGACCUACGGGUGAAAGCAGGGGAUCUUCGGACCUUGCGCGAUUGAAUGAGCCGAUGUCGGAUUAGCUAGUUGGCGGGGUAAAGGCCCACCAAGGCGACGAUCCGUAGCUGGUCUGAGAGGAUGAUCAGCCGCACUGGAACUGAGACACGGUCCAGACUCCUACGGGAGGCAGCAGUGGGGAAUAUUGGACAAUGGGCGCAAGCCUGAUCCAGCCAUACCGCGUGGGUGAAGAAGGCCUUCGGGUUGUAAAGCCCUUUUGUCGGGAAAGAAAAGCAGCAGGUUAAUACCCCGCUGUUCUGACGGUACCCAAAGAAUAAGCACCGGCUAACUUCGUG